GCGGGCUGAUAUGAAAAGUUUAUCGCAUGCUUUGAUUGUUAUCACAUGCCUUUCCGUAACGUUAUCACAUGGCAUUCCGGUAAUACUCGGCAAAUUCCGGAAAAUACACCUCAAUGCUACGUUUUCAGUGAAAAACAUUAAAAAGUAGUGUAUAAAACAAUUACUUGAAUACUGGAAAGUAUAUUGAUUAAAAUAAUAAAAUAAUAAUAAUAAUAAAAAAAAAAAUACAAACAAACAAAUUAUUUAAUAAAUACAUUUUUUAAGUUUUUCUGAAACAUAAUUUAGAAAGUUUCUUUAAAAAGUUGACUUUUCCAAACAAUGAUCAUUCUGUAUAUUGUUAAAUUAUUUUUUUGUUGAUUCGUCCAUAUUAAAAUGUUUUUUUUUUUCUCUCUCUGUUGAGGCAUAUGAUAGAAAGGUAUCAAUUUUUGGGUCCGACGGCCGUGAACUUUUUUACUCUUUAAACUUCGGGAACCACGUAAAAGGAUCCAUAAAUGAAUCUGUUAUUUUUCUCUACUGUUGAAGCAUAUGAUAAAAAGAUCAUACCAUGUCACUUUUCAUAUCGCAUGUAUUAUCAGCC
rnacentral:lncRNA from 1 species